rnacentral:rRNA from 1 species
GAUGAACGCUGGCGGCGUGCCUAAUACAUGCAAGUCGAGCGAACAGACGAGGAGCUUGCUCCUCUGACGUUAGCGGCGGACGGGUGAGUAACACGUGGAUAACCUACCUAUAAGACUGGGAUAACUUCGGGAAACCGGAGCUAAUACCGGAUAAUAUAUUGAACCGCAUGGUUCAAUAGUGAAAGACGGUUUUGCUGUCACUUAUAGAUGGAUCCGCGCCGCAUUAGCUAGUUGUUAAGGUAACGGCUUACCAAGGCAACGAUGCGUAGCCGACCUGGGAGGGUGAUCGGCCACACUGGAACUGAGACACGGUCCAGACUCCUACGGGAGGCAGCAGUAGGGAAUCUUCCGCGAUGGGCGAAAGCCUGACGGUGCAACGCCGCGUGAGUGAUGAAGGUCUUCGGAUCGGAAAACUCUGUUAUUAGGGAAGAACAAAUGUGUAAGUAACUAUGCACGUCUUGACGGUACCUAAUCAGAAAGCCACGGCUAACUACGUG